UUAAUGAGGUAGGGUUCUCCCUCGGGAAGCCCGAACUCCCCACCCUUUGCUGUUGCGAAUACGUUGCUUCGGCGGGACCCCCCCUUCUGCCCCUCACCGGGCUGGGGGAGGGACCGGGCCUCCACUGGCCCGGGCAGCGCCCGCCGGGGGACCAAACCAACUCUUUUGUUAAACAAUGCAGUCGGAGUACAAUGUACAAAAUCAAAUUAAAACUUUCAACAACGGAUCUCUUGGUUCUGGCAUCGAUGAAGAACGCAGCGAAAUGCGAUAAGUAAUGUGAAUUGCAGAAUUCAGUGAAUCAUCGAAUCUUUGAACGCACAUUGCGCCCCUUGGUAUUCCGAGGGGCAUGCCUGUUCGAGCGUCAUUUCACCAAUCAAGCCCCGCUUGGUAUUAGGCGAUCUGGCCGGCCCCCCGUGGCCGGCCCGCCCGAAAUGCAUCGGCGAGGCACCGACCCCCGGCGUGUUAGAAUUUCUUUAACGUCGAGAGCACCGGUGAACCUCCGCCGUGAAACCUUUUUAAUAAAUUUCUAAGGUUGACCUCGGAUCAGGUAGGAAUACCCGCUGAACUUAAGCAUAUCAAUAAGCGGAGGAAAAGAACCAACAGGGAUUGCCUCAGUAACGGCGAGUGAAGCGGCAACAGCUCAAAUUUGAAAUCUGGCGCCUUUGGCGUCCGAGUUGUAAUUUGUAGAGGAUGCUAUUGGGUUGCCACCGGUCUAAGUUCCUUGG
rnacentral:rRNA from 1 species